UCCUACGGGGGGUAGCAGUGAGGAAUAUUGGUCAAUGGGCGGGAGCCUGAACCAGCCAAGCCGCGUGAAGGAAGAAGGCGCCAGGCGUCGUAAACUUCUUUUGUCGGGGAACAAAGGGCGCCACGCGUGGCGUUGUGAGUGUACCCGAAGAAAAAGCAUCGGCUAACUCCGUGCCAGCAGCCGCGGUAAUACGGAGGAUGCGAGCGUUAUCCGGAUUUAUUGGGUUUAGAGGGUGCGUAUGCGGUCCGGAAAGUCAGCGGUAAAAGCCCGGGGCUCAACCUCGGCGAGCCGUUGAAACUGUCGGG
rnacentral:rRNA from 1 species